rnacentral:rRNA from 1 species
AGGACGAACGCUGGCGGCGUGCUUAACACAUGCAAGUCGAACGGUAAGGCCCCUUCGGGGGUACACGAGUGGCGAACGGGUGAGUAACACGUGAGCAACCUGCCCUUGACUCUGGAAUAACAGUUGGAAACAGCUGCUAAUACCGGGUAUGACACAUCUUCGCAUGGGGGUGUGUGGAAAGCCCUGGCGGUCAAGGAUGGGCUCGCGGCCUAUCAGCUAGUUGGUGAGGUAAUGGCUCACCAAGGCUUCGACGGGUA